rnacentral:misc_RNA from 1 species
GCAAUAGGGCAAUUUUAACCCUUUUCGUAGAUACAAAGAACAGAAGAGCAGAAUAGAGUGCUCUCUGCUUCGUCUACAGUGUUCCUUCUUUCAGUUUUGCACUUUUAGCUGAGGAAUUUGGCAGCCGGCUCAAUUAUCAUAAUAAUCCCAAGGAGACCAACGACUUCUCAAUUUGAGACACAAUGGAAAAUUUUGAUCAUCGAUUUCAACGUACUGAUCAGUGGAAGCCUGUCUAUUCCUGGUUAGAGACUCUAGACACAGACGAGGUGGUUAAAUCAAAAGAAAUUAUAGACUGGCUUACUGAGAAUUCUGAUGUGAGAGAACAAUUAAAUUCAAGGCAUUCACGUUACCAUUUGAUGCAUUACAUAAAAAAAUGCCACAUGAAAAUUCUGAAGAGAAAGGAGAAGAAGAAGGGACCAGGAUUCACCAAAAACGUGUCUGUGGCAGAAGUCAAGAAAAGUGAAGAUGUGAAGAAACUUGGUCCAGUUCAAAAUACAGACUAUAAUUUCAGCAACGCCGUACCUAAGGACACUGAUCUCUAUAAAGCAAAACAAACAGAAGCUUUGCAGAAAUAUGAGAUUCUUGUGGAGUUGGAGAAACAACUUUCGAUGCACUUCCCAAAGCCUGGAAACAUUGGCAAUAAAGAAAACUGAUUGCAAGCUGAUUUUGCACCUCGAUUAAAAUGCAGAAUGGCACAGUUUUGCAAUGUAAUGACUAUAAUUUCACAUCCAGUUUUGCUGGUUCGAAUACUUUGUUUCAUCGAUGCUGCAAAAUUUCAAUCAUGGCCCAUAGAAACUAGUUUUAGAAACUAAUAUGUCCCUGUCCUUGUGAGAAAUAUCCUUGAUUCUAUGGUAAUGUAAGAAGUAUGGAAUAU